ensembl:lncRNA
GGGGGGGCGGGGUGUGGGGGUCGGAGUGGAUUGCCGUUGACUGAAGAACAACACACACGUCGCAGACGCACACACACGGCAGAAUGUAGACGUCGGCGUCGUUUGUCUCGUCGCGGCGGGAAGCGCGACUCCGUUCUGAAGUGAGUGGCAAAAAAAGAUUCUGUUAAGACUGUGAAACUACUGAGCAACCGUAAGCUAUGGGUACGGUGACGCAGAAUGUAACCAAGCCAAACAAACUGUUAUUCGGUGAUAUGUUGUUCCGCGUGCUAGUGUCGUCACCACGUAAUGGGAGCUGAGAAGGGCUCUCACUGCACAUUGAGGUGGAGAGGAGAUGUUAUGAACCAAAUUAUGAAAAAAAAUACUUACUAGAGUGCUCAACACAUCAUCCAGAACAUCUUAAGAAAGCUAUUUUGUAGUUUUAAUUCAAUACCAACAAAGAAAUGGAUCAUAUUUAAUAUGAUUAUGUAAUAUUAAUUAAAAUACAGAUUCAUAAAUGUUAUGCCUGAAUGACCAAACUGAACCAAUAAUACGAUUAUUAUUUUUUCUUUUAAAAGAGGUUUGUUAAGAUGAGGGGGCAGAGAUGACAAUCAGAGACUACUAAAUAAAGAACAGCUUUGUGUUUCGGUAGCAUUUGUUUUUCCCCAACUCAUCGUGGUGAAUUCUGUAGUUGGUCUGUAAAAUAACUUCUCCUGGUUUUAUAAAGGUCCUUCUAGUGUACAUUAUGCACAAACUUUGUUGUCUGCACGUGUGACAUUGAGGACCUGCGCUGCAGCAGAGCUCACAACGACAAUCACUCGAUUUAUGGGGAGAAUUUUUGACAGUUGGGUCCAGGAUCCAUCGACUUCGGUUCGAUGCCACAUACACAAUGUUUGCGCAUCGAAACAAAGAAAGAAAAGUCGAUUCAAUUCAUUUCCCGCUGUUUGCAACCGUUUGUAUGAGGGCUAAUGGACUGUUCAAACGUUGGUACUUUAUGUUGUGUUUAUACUUUUUAUACCGGCUGAGCAACGAUACGAUGAAUUCACAAAUGCCUCUUUGAAGUUUUUGUAUGAUUUAUUUGCCUUGGGGUUCGAAGCUUCCUGUCCGAAGACAUCAUCAGUGAAUAAGAACAAUUCAGCAGGGAACUCAGAGAUUUUAGAUAGAGAAUGGAGGUAAUGACUGCCAGCAACAGAGAAAAUACCAAGGCACAUCAUUGAAAAUUAUGCUGUGCAUAUGUACAUUUACACUUGAGGCCUGGCUAUUGUUGUUGUGUUUAUUUGUGUUUGUACCGUUCUAAUAUGUAAAUGGGUCCACCGUGUUGUUUGCGAUGCGUUGAAGUAUACUGUCCUGAAAGGUGUGCCUACAUGUUGGGUUAGACGAUGACCGAAGUGGCAAAAUGAUCAAAUUUGUUUUUUUUUGUUUGAAGAAUUAUAGAAGAGGAUUGUGGCCACAUGUGAUUAUUUCCUGAGAUUAAAGUCAGAAUUCUGACUUAAAACUCUGAACUCAAAAAGAUAUGGCUAUGUGGUGCAACUGGUUUUAAUGAUGUUUAAUAAAUAGGACAAAACAAAGUGAUGCUUGACUUUCUUGCUCUGCAUUUGUUUACGGUACAGUUGAUUAAGUCUGCAAUGAACUCAUGAGUCACAUAAUAAGCCUUCAAUAAAUAACAUUUUCAAGAUCUAGGGGUUGUAGAGCUGGAUACAGGUUGAGUCUUUCAUUUUAAGGAAUAUGUUGGCAACUAUGCAAGAAAUGCCAAUGCUCAUUUCAUUGUGUGGCUGAAAAUAAUUAAAGCUGUAUAACA